CCUACGGGAGGCAGCAGUAAGGAAUAUUGGUCAAUGGACGCAAGUCUGAACCAGCCAUGCCGCGUGGAGGAUGAAGGUCCUCUGGAUUGUAAACUUCUUUUAUUUGGGAAGAAACCCACGAUUUCUAUUGUGGUUGACGGUACCAGAUGAAUAAGCACCGGCUAACUCCGUGCCAGCAGCCGCGGUAAUACGGAGGGUGCAAGCGUUAUCCGGAUUCACUGGGUUUAAAGGGUGCGUAGGCGGGCAGGUAAGUCAGUGGUGAAAUCUCCGAGCUUAACUUGGAAACUGCCGUUGAUACUAUCUGUCUUGAAUGCUGUGGAGGUAAGCGGAAUAUGUCAUGUAGCGGUGAAAUGCUUAGAUAUGACAUAGAACACCUAUUGCGAAGGCGGCUUGCUACACAGAAAUUGACGCUGAGGCACGAAAGCGUGGGGAUCAAACAGGAUUAGAUACCCUGGUAGUCCACGCCCUAAACGAUGGAUACUCGACAUCAGCGAUACACAGUUGGUGUCGUGAGAGAAGACGAUUAAGUAGUAACCUACCGUACGGUUAAGGUUACGUACCGACGAGGUUAGAACGUUACGAAGUAGAGUUAGACGGACGNGAGAGNGCGACGGACGACGACGAGGGAGGAGG
rnacentral:rRNA from 1 species